CAUAGGCGUGCUAAAGUCCGGAGACCUGCUGGGGCCUUGGGUGGGGUUGUGCCCGCAGUGCGCGUGGGGAGUGGAGUGCUCUGGAGCGGCGCGGGGAGGGCGUUGUCCUGGCAACCCGCAGAGCAGGAUUUAGCCGUGUCCCAGCGCUGACCGCUUGGGCUGUUUUCUAACCGGUCUCCUGAAACAUGACGCGAGGCGCCAACUCAUGAAUUUGUCCCUUAUUUACAAUGGCCCCAUCUCCUGUGACUGUCCCAGCUCGGGGGCUGCCCUGUCCCGACAGCCCAUCCGCGUGGGGCAGCCAGGCUGCCCUUGCUGAAGUUAUCCUCGCCCUCGGGUGUCAAGGGGCUGAAGCCAGCCCCCAGGCAAAACGGCUGCCAAGUGGUUGGGGGCUGCGCAGAGACGGGGGCUGUGGGGAGCAGACGACACAGUGUGAAAGCAGGAGGGGGAGCAGAAGGCAGAUUUAGUGGUUUCAGGGGGCAUGCAGUAGGGAGCCGAGGAGGUACAGAGGAUAGUUGGGGUAGGACGUGGAGGGGAUCAGAGGGCAGCUUCCCUCAGCCUGUGGGUGGGGAAGGGGAGUCCCCUGAGCAUCGUGGGAAAGGUGGUGGUGCCAACGCUUGGAAAUUGGUUGUGAUAGAAGUGUUGCUGCUGGGUCAAGACAGCAAUAGGAAAUGGAUGGUGGUUCCCCUAUCUUAGGGAUGAGAAGAGGGUAAGUACUGGAAUCUUUAUCUGAGCAGGAAGGGAGAGGUGUGUGUGGUUUUUGAGUUCAUUAAAGAUUGACUUUUCAGUCUGAAAUUAUCACACACAUAUUGGCAGAGGACUAGAGGUUAAAAAGUCAAGACACAAAAAUAUUACUUGGAAUUAAAAAAAAUCAUGAUUUUAUGGGCCAAUUUCAUUAUGUGGGGGUGAGAGGGUUGACCCAUUAUUUUUGAUCUCUUGAGGUUGGCAAUACUGCAUAUGCAAAAUUUUACCAAAGCAGCCAGGAGCACGGGCACAUGCAAAUUAGUUUUGAAUGGGGAAAAAAGCUAAGUAACACUCCACCCUCUAGAAGUGUUUCUGAUACGUGCCAGUAAUCACAAGGUGUAUCUCCAAGGUACAACAGUCUUUUUGCAUCAGGUGUUGAGGGAGGGACACUUGUGCAGCAUCUGUGGGAUUUAAUCUCUGGCUAAACAUGGAUACUUAUCCGAAUCAGUCACUAAUUCCCAAACCAUUUGAGGUUCUCCUAUUGCUUUUUAUGCACAUCUGUUGGAUUUUGUGAACAUCUUUAUGUUUUGGCACUGUGACAAAGUUCCUCCUCUGCCUUGGUGGGUCCUGUGCUUAUUGGCAGGUUUGCCUUUCUGAAGAUUAACUACCCUUUGGCGAGAACCUAGAAGCAGAUCUGCUGCCACCUGGCUCCCUUCUCACUGGGAAGGACAAAAUCAAAAGGGCAGAUAUUUAUUUGCAUAUUAGCAGUAAAUGGACAAUCUUCUCAUCCCUUGAAGACCCGGACUUCACAGAUGAUGAUGCUCUCCUAUCACAUACCCAACACCAUAUACAAGAAAAAACAAUUUGACUCAAUGCAUUCUGCCUGCAAAUUGGACUGAAAAUCACUCACAAUAAGACAUAUCAUGACCUUUAAUAUUGCCUCACCAUCACUAGUAUGGAUAGAGGAUUAUGUUCUCAUCAAUGUAGAAAC